rnacentral:rRNA from 1 species
UGGGGAAUGUUGCACAAUUGGCGCCCUCCUGCUGCAGCAACGCCGCGUGAACGAUGACGUUCUUCGUUUCGUACAGUUCUGUUGCAGGGGAAGAUAAUGACGGUACCCUGUGAGGAAGCUCCGGCUAACUACGUGCCAGCCUCCGCGGUAAUACGUAGGGGGCUAGCGUUAUCCGGAUUUACUGGGCGUAAAGGGUGCGUAGGUGGUCUUUCAAGUCGGUGGUUAAAGGCUACGGCUCAACCGUAGUUAGCCUCCGAAACUGGAAGACUUGAGAGCAGGAGAGGAAAGUGGAAAUCCCAGUGUAGCGGUGAAAUGCGUAGAUAUUGGGAGGAAAACCAGGAGCGAAGGCGGCUUUCUGGACUGCAACUGACACUGAGGCACGAAAGCGUGGGUAGCAAAAAGG